UACGGGGGGAGCAAGCGUUGCUCGGAAUUACUGGGCGUAAAGCGCACGUAGGCGGCUUUCUAAGUCGGGGGUGAAAUCCUGGAGCUCAACUCCAGAACUGCCUUCGAUACUGGAGAGCUUGAGUCCGGGAGAGGUGAGUGGAACUGCGAGUGUAGAGGUGAAAUUCGUAGAUAUUCGCAAGAACACCAGUGGCGAAGGCGGCUCACUGGCCCGGUACUGACGCUGAGGUGCGAAAGCGUGGGGAGCAAACAGG
rnacentral:rRNA from 1 species